CUGCAUCCUGAAAAGCUUCAUGAAAAGUGGUAGGCUCAGUAGGAAGAGUAGUAUGUGUAGAAGCUAGGAAGGAGGUAGACCUAGCAAAAUUCUUAGCCAUAGAUCAAAUAUGCAUAGAGUGUGUCCGGAUUGGUAAGGAAGGCUCAGCAGGCUGAGGUGAAGGUGGCCUGUCCGAUGUGGAAGGCGUCAACUCAACAGGAGAAGGUGAAGCUGUAGCAGCAGAAGGUCGGAGGGUGUGUCGUCUGGUAUAGACUCGGAGUUCAGGUGGACCAGCAACAGUGGCAGCAUGUUCAUCACUAACCUGUGUGGCAUCAUGAUUCAAGGUGGAAGGAAAAGUCGAUACAGUCUCAGAUGGUGAAACAGAUGCAUUUGAACUAACAUCCGGAGAAAGGCGUGUGAAGGAAAAACCAGAGAUGGCAUCAAGAGAGGAAGGACUUUCGCCCAAUAAGGGAGGAUUAGAAAGAAAAUGUUGAAACAUUUGAAAAUUUGAGGUAGUGGGGGAAGAUGAGGAAGAAAAUUUGGACAGACAAGAGUAAGGAAAAACAGUUUCAACAAAAGUAACAUGGCGAGAAAUAAAAACUUUACCAGUGCUCGGAUAGAGGCAGCGAAAGCCCUU
rnacentral:lncRNA from 1 species